UACGUAGGGGGCAAGCGUUGACCGGAUUCAUUGGGCGUAAAGAGCGUGUAGGCGGCCAGAUAGGUCAGCUGUGAAAACUCGGGGCUCAACCCUGAGACGUCGGUUGAAACCAUCUGGCUAGAGUCCGGAAGAGGAGUGUGGAAUUCCCGGUGUAGCGGUGAAAUGCGCAGAUAUCGGGAAGAACACCCGUGGCGAAGGCGGCACUCUGGGACGGUACUGACGCUGAGACGCGAAAGCGUGGGGAGCGAACAGG
rnacentral:rRNA from 1 species